UACAGAGUUAACAGGAGAUCUGCAGAAGAUCCGAUCCCGAUUACUUGGUUUUAAAAUCAAUGUUGUAAAUUCCCAACUCAUGAACAAAAGCGCAUGAAGCGCAAAGCAUGUGCUUCAGAUUCCUUGUACUGUAUUUACAAUUUUUCACAAUUGCGAAAACAGCAGUCCUGUAAGCAAAAUGAAGGAGCUGGUCCUUGAGUUCAGAAAGCAGAGUGGAGGACACGCCUCUGUCUCUAUCAAUGGUGCCAAGGUGAAGGUGGUCAAAAGCUUCAAGUUCCUAGGAGUAAAUAUCACCAAAAAUCUUUCCUGGUUUAUCUGGGUCGAUACUGCAAUCAAGAAAACACAGCAGUGUCUUUACAUCCUCAGAAGGCCAAGGAAAUUUGCCAUGUCCACAAUGACUCUUACCAAUUUUUAUUGGUGCCUCAUAGAAAGCAUCCUAUCCAGGGGCAUCACAUAUGGCAACAACUCUGCUCAUGUCUGCAAUAAAUUUCGGAGUUGUGAAUGCAGCCCAGUCCAUCAUGCAAAACAGCCUUCCUUCUAUUGACUCAGUCUACAUGUCCUGCUGCCUUGGGAAAGCAGCUAACCUUACCAAAGACCCCUCCCGCCCUGGUUAUACUCUCUCCCAAUCUCUUCCAUCGGGCAGAAGAUACAAAAAAGUUUGAAAACAUAUACCAACAGAUUUAAGAACAGCUCCUUCCCUGCCAUUAUCAGACUUAUGAAUGGACAUCUCAUAUAUUAGAAUUGAUCUUUCUCUGCAUCUUCUCCAUAGCCGUUCUGUUCUAUUACUUGUCUUCUAUUACUAUUACUGAUGUACUUUUGUAAUGUAUGAUCUAUCUGGUCAGCACACAAUUGAUACUUUUCACUGUAUCCUGGUAUGUGACAGUAAUAAAUGAAAUCAACUCAAAAAAUCAAAAUCAAAUUUACUUUAAGUACUAACUACCACAAUUAAUUUUCCUCAACCUCAGUCAUUGGAACCUAGUCAAAAACAGGAUAGUUUGAACAACCUAUGUAGCUGCCAUAACAUCUGGACCUGCAUUUACUAGAAGGACAAAAUCUA